CGGAUAAUCUAUUUGUAACAAUUUCAGUAAAUCAUCCGAAACAUGGUGAAUAUUUCUCAGCUUCAUUGAUGGCCAAAAGAGUAUCAUCCUCCACACAUACUGAUCUAGAUUUAUUCUUCUGGCUAAUGCCUCACAAGAUUGCUUUAGGGAUAUAUUGGCAGGCUCUUAAGCUUUGGUGGAAGGGUGUUCCUUUCUUGCAACAUCCAAGGUACUACAAUCCUAGAUACAGAGAAGAGGCCAUACUAUCUGAUGAGAAGCUUCAAUGUUGUCCGGCGUUUGUAUUUGAGACACAGAACAAUCAACAGGCUGGAGAACACUGUUCCAAUCCUGCAGAUCACUCAACUUCAAGACAUCAUGGCUUCACUUGGAGGGAUGCAAAAUGGCCCUGGUGCUAAAAAGAAUGCAAAGAGUAGCUCAGCCUUUCGUAAAUAAAUGGCCCUCUUGACAAGAAAAUUAAGAAAAGAGAGUCUGGGUAAGUGUUUAUGUGAAACAAUUUAGAUUUUCAAUUUUCAUGAUAACCUUACAAAGUCAAGCUAGUACAUUAAUAGCAUGAGGAAAUUGUUGUACUGCUAUUUCUGGAAACACGAUAAGUAAAUUCCGAUUCAACUUAAAAAAUAGAGCAGAUCAACUAAAUUUGAGCUGAGAGGUCUGUAUUAACUAUUAAGGCUGCA